CACAACACUCAACGUUUGUGUUGUGGGGAGGGAGGAGAGAACAAAACGGUGUCUGUGACCCUGACUGGUCAUAUGACCCACAACCAAGGCUGGUUACCACCCUCCCCUCCUACCACACCACAGUGGGACAGGGGUGCCCCUCGGAGAGGAAGGCCACAGAUCUGGGUUUUGGAUGUCAAAGCAAGAAGGGGGAUCCAAAUGGCCUGGAGCCUCUGGCUCACCAGGGCUCAGCAAGGGCUAUGUGGCCCCCAGUGGCCCAACAAGCCAUAUGCAGCCUGAAGCAGCCUAGCAGGUACCAAGCCUCCAAUGUGCCCACUCUGGGCAUGCACCAUUCUCAGAUUCAAUUAAAAAAAAAAAAAAAAAAACAUGAUGAGAAAAUGAGGGGAAAUAUUAGCAGCAGCAAAAACAAACAAAAAAACCCAAAUAAAACAAACAAAAGAAAAAAAACCACAAAGAAAGGGUGAGUUAGAGAAGCAAAAGGGAUGAGACAUUCAGAGAAUGGAGGGCAAAGACAAAAUGUUGGAUCAACCCUUCCUCCCGCGCAGACUAAGGAAUUUCAACGUGAAUCACAUUUUCCCAGGACGAUCCUCCCAGCAAAAACGGAAUGCACAGUUACUGCAGGUCCCCCUGAUUGGAGGGUCAUAAAUCAGGCCAGUUGCUUCAAGUCAAGACCCUGUGAGCAGCACUGGAACGGGGAUUAGAAGCCACAGAUGAGAACCACAGGCCUGGAGCUGGGGCAGCAGACAUCAAAUGGAACAUAAUCAGAUACUAUCCGAUGGGCAGGCCCACCUCUACAGAGCCUCCCACAUGGACACUGGAAUGUGGACUAGAUUUCAAAUGUGGCCAAAUUAUUUCCUCUUCUUCCUCUCUAGAGCACGAACAGUUAUUUGAUUGGGGUCAUAAUCCCAAACAAAAGACAUGAAUUACACCACCUUCCAAACUGA